rnacentral:rRNA from 1 species
UACGUAGGGCGCAAGCGUUAUCCGGAAUUAUUGGGCGUAAAGAGCUCGUAGGCGGUUUGUCGCGUCUGCCGUGAAAGUCCGGGGGCUCAACUCCGGAUCUGCGGUGGGUACGGGCAGACUAGAGUGAUGUAGGGGGAGACUGGAAUUCCUGGUGUAGCGGUGAAAUGCGCAGAUAUCAGGAGGAACACCGAUGGCGAAGGCGGUUCUCUGGGCAUUACCUGACGCUGAGGAGCGAAAGUGUGGGGGAGCGAACAGG